rnacentral:tRNA from 1 species
GGGCCCCUAGCUCAAUUGGCAGAGUGCCCGCUUCGCAAGCGAGAGGCUCCGGGUUCGAGUCCCGGGGGUGUCCA